rnacentral:rRNA from 1 species
GACAGAGGGUGCAAACGUUGUUCGGAAUUACUGGGCGUAAAGCGAGUGUAGGCGGUCUCAUAAGUCGGGUGUGAAAGCCCUGGGCUCAACCCAGGAAGUGCACUCGAUACUGCGAGGCUAGAGUAUCGGAGAGGUUGGUGGAAUUCUCGGUGUAGAGGUGAAAUUCGUAGAUAUGCGGAGGAACACCGACGGCGAAGGCAAUCCCCUGGGCCUGCACUGACGCUCAUGCCCGAAAGCGUGGGGAGCAAACAGG